rnacentral:tRNA from 1 species
GGGCUGGGGCUCAGUGGCAGAGCACUUGCCUAGCAUGUGUGAGGCCCUGGGUUCGAUUCUCAGCACCACA